GCCUGGCUAACAUUCUUUAUCCAAAACUAAGACCUACCUUCUAAACUAGAUCAUAUUUUAAAACUCUACCCUCAACAGUGGUAUACCGUUGUUCGAGAGUCAUAAAUCAAUUGACAGACAACAAAUCCGACUUAAAAACUAAAACUGAGGGAAACACAUCAAAUAAAAGAGGAAAACAACGAAACAACAGAAACAAUAAAGUGCAACAAAAACCAAACGACAAUGUAAUACACAC
rnacentral:lncRNA from 1 species